AACCGUAGCCGUACGCACGAGNGCGACUACGGUGAGUGUAGUGAUUGGGGUG
rnacentral:rRNA from 1 species